GAUGAACGCUAGCGAUAGGCUUAACACAUGCAAGUCGAGGGGCAGCAUGAUCUUAGCUUGCUAAGGUCGAUGGCGACCGGCGCACGGGUGCGUAACGCGUAUGCAACUUGCCUUACAGAGGGGGAUAACCCGUUGAAAGACGGACUAAAACCGCAUACACUUGUAUUAUUGCAUGAUAUUACAAGGAAAUAUUUAUAGCUGUAAGAUAGGCAUGCGUCCCAUUAGCUGGUUGGUGAGGUAACGGCUCACCAAGGCGACGAUGGGUAGGGGAACUGAGAGGUUUAUCCCCCACACUGGUACUGAGACACGGACCAGACUCCUACGGGAGGCAGCAGUGAGGAAUAUUGGUCAAUGGGCGAGAGCCUGAACCAGCCAAGUCGCGUGAAGGAAGACAGUCCUAAGGAUUGUAAACUUCUUUUAUACGGGAAUAAACGGGCGAUACG
rnacentral:rRNA from 1 species